AUUGAACGCUGGCGGCAGGCCUAACACAUGCAAGUCGAGCGGAGCGGCGGACGGGUGAGUAAUGCCUAGGAAUCUGCCUGGUAGUGGGGGAUAACGUCCGGAAACGGGCGCUAAUACCGCAUACUAUCAGAUGAGACUAGGUCGGAUUAGCUAGUGGGUGGGGUAAAGGCCUACCAAGGCGACGACCCGUAACUGGUCUAAGAGGAUGAUCAGUCACACUGGAACGUAGACAAGGUCCAGGAUCCUCAGGUGGUGAGCAGUGGGGAAUGUUGGACAAUGGGCGAAAGCCUGAUCCAGCCGUGCCGGGUGUGUGAAGAAGGUCUUCGGAUUGUAAAGCACUUUAAGUUGGGAGGCGUUACCAACAGAAUAAGCACCCGCUAACUUCGUGCCAGCAGCCGCGGUAAUAC
rnacentral:rRNA from 1 species